rnacentral:rRNA from 1 species
GAUGAACGCUGGCGGCGUGCCUAAUACAUGCAAGUCGAGCGAACAGACGAGGAGCUUGCUCCUCUGACGUUAGCGGCGGACGGGUGAGUAACACGUGGAUAACCUACCUAUAAGACUGGGAUAACUUCGGGAAACCGGAGCUAAUACCGGAUAAUAUAUUGAACCGCAUGGUUCAAUAGUGAAAGACGGUUUUGCUGUCACUUAUAGAUGGAUCCGCGCCGCAUUAGCUAGUAGGUAAGGUAACGGCUUACCAAGGCGACGAUGCGUAGCCGACCUGAGAGGGUGAUCGGCCACACUGGAACUGAGACACGGUCCAGACUCCUACGGGAGGCAGCAGUAGGGAAUCUUCCGCAAUGGGCGAAAGCCUGACGGAGCAACGCCGCGUGAGUGAUGAAGGUCUUCGGGUCGUAAAACUCUGUUAUUAGGGAAGAACAAAUGUGUAAGUAACUAUGCACGUCUUGACGGUACCUAAUCAGAAAGCCACGGCUAACUACGUG